rnacentral:misc_RNA from 1 species
UGGUUCUGGCAUCGAUGAAGAACGCAGCGAAAUGCGAUAAGUAAUGCGAAUUGCAGAAUUCAGUGAGUCAUCGAAUCUUUGAACGCAUAUUGCGCCCUUUGGUAUCCCGAAGGGCAUGCCUGUCCGAGCGUCAUUGUCAACUCUUCAAGCCUGGCUUGUCGUUGGACUUUUUGGUUCGUGGAACCGGUCCGAAAGACAGCAGAUAGGGAUCCGGGGUGGCCCUCACGAUACAGCAAGCUUUUUACAGCACGUAUCUGCCGGGCCAGCGGCUCUACCUUUAAACCCCCUAAUUUUCUCAGGUUGACCUCGGAUCAGGUAGGAAUACCCGCUGA